rnacentral:rRNA from 1 species
GAUGAACGCUGGCGGCGUGCCUAACACAUGCAAGUCGAGCGAUCUUCUUCGGAAGAGAGCGGCGGACGGGUGAGUAACGCGUGGGUAACCUGCCCUGUACACACGGAUAACAUACCGAAAGGUAUGCUAAUACGAGAUAAUAUGCUUUUGUCGCAUGGUAGAAGUAUCAAAGCUCCGGCGGUACAGGAUGGACCCGCGUCUGAUUAGCUAGUUGGUAAGGUAACGGCUUACCAAGGCGACGAUCAGUAGCCGACCUGAGAGGGUGAUCGGCCACAUUGGAACUGAGACACGGUCCAAACUCCUACGGGAGGCAGCAGUGGGGAAUAUUGCACAAUGGGCGAAAGCCUGAUGCAGCAACGCCGCGUGAGCGAUGAAGGCCUUCGGGUCGUAAAGCUCUGUCCUCAAGGAAGAUAAUGACGGUACUUGAGGAGGAAGCCCCGGCUAACUACGUGCCAGCAGCCGCGGUAAU